ACUCCUGGACAAGCUGCAUCAGGCCAACCUGCACAUAGCACCACGGCUUUCUCUGGUGGUCCGGGUUCCUGGUAACACAGAGAGGUUGGGGGGAGUGUCAUUCCAACCCAGAAUGCAUUUUCUUCCCCUCCAGGGAAAAGUCAGCCAGAGGCCUUGCUAUUCUCAUGCUUAUGGACAGCACUCCGGAAAUAUAGGGGAUGGUAACAGGGUCCCUGUGGGGCUAGAGACUCUUUGCUGCUCCCACCUCACCUGCAGUAAUUGUGUUUGCCCAGGCCCAGCUGAAGGGCAUCAGGUCUGAGGGCAUGGUACUGUUUCAGAAGAACAGCUGCGGAGUUCCAGGCCAGGCAGGGCCGGCCCCUGGUGUUGGUGUUGGCCUUCCCGCGGUAAGAGUGACCAUUCCCCUCGUAGCAGGUUUUUGAUGUAUCUAAGGAAGAAUGGGAGGAUGAGAGAUAUUAGAAAGAAGAGGAAAUUCAGACAGGUAUUUUAGAGAGCCUAUCAGGCCUCACAUGAUUUCAGGCCCGGCAGAAAGCACUAGAAAGGGUUUCCUUCCCUCCUCAUUGCACAUUUGUGCAACCACAGAUUCACGAAACAGCAUGUGUUUAUGCUCCACUGUGUAUAUCACACAGGGAUGAAGAUGUUCCCUGCUCCACCUCCAGCUCCUGACUCCUGCCUGCUCUUGCACCUUGCCCAUCCUCCCUGUCCCCAAGUCUCUGGUGCCCCCUCCUCCCCAGUUAGAGUCAGGAUCCCCAUACCUAUCUCACAGUGUUCCCCCUGGAAUUUCUUUGGGCAGUUGCAUCGCUGAAUGUUGGAGAAGUACUUGUAGGACACGCACGUUCCUCCGUUCAGACAGCUGCAGUUUGCUGGAGAUCACAGAGAUGGAAGGGUGACAGGGGCACCUGGCUGGCUCAGUGCGGGGAGCGUGGGACUCUUCAUCUCUGCGUUGCCAGUUGCAGCCCCAGGUCGCUGUAAGAGGUCACUUAAAAAUAAAAUCUUUGAAAAGAAAGAAAAUGCAUGUGACACGGACUCGCGUUUUGCUGCCUGGCAAACCUGCACGUUGGGUCUGGAUCCACUUGAGAGGGGCAAGAGGAAGGCAGCAGAGGAGGGAAGAGGAAAGCUGCUUUGUUCUGCUCCUGACAGAGGCCUCAGGAUGCCAGCCUCUCCUGGGGAAAGUGCCGGUUAACCAUCCAGCUUUCAUGAGGAAGGGGACCCAUCAUCUUCUGUAGAGAGUUUUUCUGUGCCCAGCUGAGCUGCCAACAUCUCAGGGAAGGGACUGAAUCAGAGAGGCGAUAGGUCUCAGAGCUGGCCUUGCUAGUUCCUGGAGAGGACUGUAGCAUGUUUUGUUUGGAUUUAAUUGCAAAUA